rnacentral:rRNA from 1 species
GUUUGAUCAUGGCUCAAAUUGAACGCUGGCGGCAGGCCUAACACAUGCAAGUCGAGCGGUAGAGAGAAGCUUGCUUCUCUUGAGAGCGGCGGACGGGUGAGUAAUACCUAGGAAUCUGCCUGAUAGUGGGGGAUAACGUUCGGAAACGGACGCUAAUACCGCAUACGUCCUACGGGAGAAAGCAGGGGACCUUCGGGCCUUGCGCUAUCAGAUGAGCCUAGGUCGGAUUAGCUAGUUGGUGAGGUAAUGGCUCACCAAGGCUACGAUCCGUAACUGGUCUGAGAGGAUGAUCAGUCACACUGGAACUGAGACACGGUCCAGACUCCUACGGGAGGCAGCAGUGGGGAAUAUUGGACAAUGGGCGAAAGCCUGAUCCAGCCAUGCCGCGUGUGUGAAGAAGGUCUUCGGAUUGUAAAGCACUUUAAGUUGGGAGGAAGGGCAGUAAAUUAAUACUUUGCUGUUUUGACGUUACCGACAGAAUAAGCACCGGCUAACUCUGUGCCAGCAGCCGCGGUAAUACAGAGGGUGCAAGCGUUAAUCGGAAUUACUGGGCGUAAAGCGCGCGUAGGUGGUUUGUUAAGUUGAAUGUGAAAUCCCCGGGCUCAACCUGGGAACUGCAUCCAAAACUGGCAAGCUAGAGUAUGGUAGAGGGUAGUGGAAUUUCCUGUGUAGCGGUGAAAUGCGUAAAUAUAGGAAGGAACACCAGUGGCGAAGGCGACUACCUGGACUGAUACUGACACUGAGGUGCGAAAGCGUGGGGAGCAAACAGGAUUAAAUACCCUGGUAGUCCACGCCGUAAACGAUGUCAACU